GACGGGGGGUCCAAGCGUUGUUCGGAAUCAUUGGGCGUAAAGCGUGUGCAGGUGGUCUUGUAAGUUGGAUGUGAAAGCCCCGGGCUUAACUCGGGAAGUGCAUUCAAAACUGCAAGACUUGAGUAUGGAAGAGGGUCGUGGAAUUCCAGGUGUAGUGGUGAAAUACGUAGAUAUCAGGAGGAACACCGGUGGCGAAGGCGGCCCUCUGGACGGAUACUGACGCUGAGGCGCGAAAGCGUGGGGAUCAAACAGG
rnacentral:rRNA from 1 species